UACGGAAGGCAGCAGUGGGGAAUAUUGCACAAUGGGCGAAAGCCUGAUGCAGCUAUGCCGCGUGUAUGAAGAAGGCCUUAGGGUUGUAAAGUACUUUCAUCGGGGAGGAAAAAACAAAACUAAUAAUUUUAUUUCUUGACGUUACCCGAAAAAGAAGCACCGGCUAACUCCGUGCCAGCAGCCGCGGUAAUACGGAGGGUGCUAGCGUUAAUCAGAAUUACUGGGCGUAAAGAGCACGUAGGUGGUUUUUUUAAGUCAGAUGUGAAAUCCCCUGGGCUUAACCUAGGAACUGCAUUUUGAAACUGAAAUACUAGAGUAUCGUAGAGGGAGGUAGAAUUCUAGGUGUAGCGGUGAAAUGCGUAGAUAUCUGGAGGAAUACCUGUGGCGAAAGCGGCCUCCUAAACGAAUACUGACACUGAGGUGCGAAAGCGUUGGGGAGCAAACAGGGAUUUAGAUACC
rnacentral:rRNA from 1 species